UACGGAGGGUGCAAGCGUUAUCCGGAUUCACUGGGUUUAAAGGGUGUGUAGGCGGAUUUUUUAAGUCAGUGGUGAAAAUCUCCGGGCUCAACCCGGAAACUGCCAUUGAUACUAUUAGUCUUGAAUUCUGUUGAGGUGGGCGGAAUACAUCAUGUAGCGGUGAAAAUGCUUAGAUAUGAUGUAGAACACCGAUUGCGAAGGCAGCUCA
rnacentral:rRNA from 1 species